UACGGAGGGUGCAAGCGUUAUCCGGAUUCACUGGGUUUAAAGGGUGCGUAGGAGGGCAGGUAAGUCAGUGGUGAAAUCUCCAAGCUUAACUUGGAAACUGCCGUUGAUACUAUCUGUCUUGAAUAUUGUGGAGGUGAGCGGAAUAUGUCAUGUAGCGGUGAAAUGCUUAGAUAUGACAUAGAACACCCAUUGCGAAGGCAGCUCACUACGGGAAUAUUGACGCUGAGGCACGAAAGCGUGGGGAUCAAACAGG
rnacentral:rRNA from 1 species